rnacentral:rRNA from 1 species
AUACGGAGGGUGCAAGCGUUAUUCGGAAUCACUGGGCGUAAAGGACGCGUAGGCGGGUUGGCAAGUCAGAUGUGAAAUCCAACAGCUUAACUGUAGAACUGCAUUUGAAACUGCUAACCUAGAGUAUGGGAGGGGGAGAUGGAAUUAGUGGUGUAGGGGUAAAAUCCGUAGAUAUCACUAGGAAUACCGAAAGCGAAGGCGAUCUCCUGGAACAUAACUGACGCUAAGGCGUGAAAGCGUGGGGAGCAAACAGGAGUAGAUACCCUAGUAGUCC